AGCAACAGAAAGAGGAGGAGGAAAGCAUUAUUACAUCGGGAAGUAUAGGAGAGGGAACGAGCAACCUCUGGAAUGAAUUAAGAGAAACACAGGACAUUUGAAAAUGUUCAUAUUAAACUAAAGGCAACUGUCUGAAGUUUACAUUAGUCCAUGGUUUUUGAGAAUGAAACAACUGAAGUUAAACAUAACAUUAAAUAUCAAAUAUUAAAUGAUAUGCUUAUCACCAGGGAAACACCUCAGGUUACAGAUGAAACACCCAGUCGACUAAACACUUAUAUCAAUCAAUAGAAUUUAAUAGGUCAAUUUUGUUAACCAAUUAAUCUUUUUAAGGAUGAACUGAUCCGACAUUUUCCCUCCCGAUACAGAUUCCGAGACCUCAGCUCAGGGUAUCUGCAGAUAUCGAUUUCUAAUCCGAUAACAGUGCUCUAAAAAAUCUUAAAAUCUGCAAACCUCACUGCGAGAAACUGCGGCACUAUGUACGGAGCGGUCUGAAUUUCAUGAUGCCAUUGAACUGUAUUUAAUAGAGGAUCACAUCUGGCCAAUACCCAAUCUGCUUAAUAAGUAAAAGGCAAUUCUAUUGAAAACGUCAAAGUGAGAUCUGUGGGCUUAACUUCAAGGACACAUUACUACAAAAUCUGGCACAUAAAAUGGAAACCAUCUGCAUGACUGGAUGCUACACUUCUGAUGCUCACAGACUGAGCUCAAGCUACAGUGUGUGUACUGGAAUUUGCAUCCUGCACCGUAUUUGACAACCUCUGAGAACACACCAAAUUCAUCUUCAGACUGAACAUACGGGAGACCUCAGGACAGCCUUUCAUCUGCUGUCAAAUGAAACCCAAAACAUUCAUAUUACUCUCAGAAUAUUUCAGAUAUGUGGAAGAACAAAGGGUUUCUGCAGAGACACACACUUUCUCUUGACAUACUGGCAUCACCCAUUACAUCUUUUGUUUUCAUUCCUCCUGUUCACCAGAGGAGAAAGUACUGAAAGCACAGAGAUUGAAAAGACAGGCCUGAGGUGACAUUACACAGGUUGCAUAACCAACACGAGGUGCCUGCUUACCUCCAGGAGCGGCUCAGACAGAAACCAUUUAGAUGCUGAGGCACUAAGGAAGGAAAAAAAGAAACAAGAAAGAACUCAAGUGACUUCCCAACAGACUUGCGAUCAGAGUUUUCUAUUGCUUUCCCCAAAGCAAUAGAGCCAUAACACAUAAGGAUGAAGAUGGAGAUGCCUAUUUCAGUGAGGAAUGGAAUAUUAAACAUAUAUUUAUCAUCAUCAGGCCUUUCAUAAAAAAGCAGGUGAAGGUGCAGAUUUGCUGACACAUGUCACAGACCUUUCACCACCGCCCUGUGGAGCCUGAAGGACGUCCAGAGUCACGUCAGCAUGUUCUGUGUCUCCUCGGGCUGCUGGUGAUUUGUCGAAACAAC